rnacentral:rRNA from 1 species
GAUGAACGCUAGCGGCAGGCCUAAUACAUGCAAGUCGAACGGUGUCUUCGGACAUAGUGGCGCACGGGUGCGUAACACGUAUGCAACCUACCUUACAUUGGGGGAUAGCCUUUCGAAAGGGAGAUUAAUACCGCAUAAGACAGUAGCUGGGCAUCCAGCAGCUGUUAAAGAUUUAUCGAUGUAAGCUGGGCAUGCGUCCAAUUAGCUAGUUGGUGAGGUAACGGCUCACCAAGGCAAUGAUUGGUAGGGGAACUGGGAGGUCAAUCCCCCACACUGGCACGGAGAUACGGGCAAGACUCCUACGGGAGGCAGCAGUAGGGAAUAUUGGGCAAUGGACGCAAGUCUGACCCAGCCAUGCCGCGUGAAGGAUGAAGGCGUUAUGCGUUGUAAACUGCUUUUAUACAGGAAGAAACGACUCUUGCGAGAGGCAUUGACGGUACUGUAUGAAUAAGCACCGGCUAACUCCGUGCCAGCAGCCGCGGUAAAAC